UACGUAGGGGGCUAGCGUUGUCCGGAAUCAUUGGGCGUAAAGCGCGCGUAGGCGGCCCGGUAAGUCCGCUGUAAAAGUCCAGGGCUCAACCCUGGAACGCCGGUGGAUACUGGCGGACUCGAGUCUCGGAGAGGAGGGUGGAAUUCCUGGUGUAGCGGUGAAAUGCGUAGAUAUCAGGAGGAACACCGGUGGCGAAGGCGGCCCUCUGGACGAUGACUGACGCUGAGACGCGAAAGCGUGGGGAGCAAACAGG
rnacentral:rRNA from 1 species